UUUAAAUGCAACCAUAAGUUUCUGCACCUAACUUUGAUCGUCCGUCUUAUUUGAAAAAUUUUUAUAAUUAGUAUUUUUGUUGUUAUGAGAUGAUAAAACAUAAAGUGACUUAUGUUUUUAAUUUUUUUAAAUAAGACGGACGGUCAAAGUUGGUCGUGGAAAACCAUAACUGCACUGAAA
rfam:Oryza barthii chromosome 8, whole genome shotgun sequence.